rnacentral:rRNA from 1 species
CACAUGCAGUCGAACGGCACCUAUCUUCGGAUAGAAGCGAGUGGCGAACGGCUGAGUAACACGUGGAGAACCUGCCCCCUCCCCCGGGAUAGCCGCCCGAAAGGACGGGUAAUACCGGAUACCCCGGGGUGCCGCAUGGCACCCCGGCUAAAGCCCCGACGGGAGGGGAUGGCUCCGCGGCCCAUCAGGUAGACGGCGGGGUGACGGCCCACCGUGCCGACAACGGGUAGCCGGGUUGAGAGACCGACCGGCCAGAUUGGGACUGAGACACGGCCCAGACUCCUACGGGAGGCAGCAGUGGGGAAUCUUGCGCAAUGGGGGGAACCCUGACGCAGCGACGCCGCGUGCGGGACGGAGGCCUUCGGGUCGUAAACCGCUUUCAGCAGGGAAGAGUCAAGACUGUACCUGCAGAAGAAGCCCCGGCUAACUACGUGCCAGCAGCCGCGGUAAUACGUAGGGGGCGAGCGUUAUCCGGAUUCAUUGGGCGUAAAGCGCGCGUAGGCGGCCCGGCAGGCCGGGGGUCGAAGCGGGGGGCUCAACCCCCCGAAGCCCCCGGAACCUCCGCGGCUUGGGUCCGGUAGGGGAGGGUGGAACACCCGGUGUAGCGGUGGAAUGCGCAGAUAUCGGGUGGAACACCGGUGGCGAAGGCGGCCCUCUGGGCCGAGACCGACGCUGAGGCGCGAAAGCUGGGGGAGCGAACAGGAUUAGAUACCCUGGUAGUCCCAGCCGUAAACGAUGGACGCUAGGUGUGGGGGGGACGAUCCCCCCGUGCCGCAGCCAACGCAUUAAGCGUCCCGCCUGGGGGAGUACGGCCGCAAGGCUAAAACUCAAAGGAAUUGACGGGGGCCCGCACAAG